AUUGAACGCUGGCGGCAGGCCUAACACAUGCAAGUCGAGCGGAUGAAGAGAGCUUGCUCUCUGAUUUAGCGGCGGACGGGUGAGUAAUGCCUAGGAAUCUGCCCGGUAGUGGGGGAUAACGUCCGGAAACGGGCGCUAAUACCGCAUACGUCCUACGGGAGAAAGCAGGGGACCUUCGGGCCUUGCGCUAUCAGAUGAGCCUAGGUCGGAUUAGCUAGUUGGUGAGGUAAUGGCUCACCAAGGCUACGAUCCGUAACUGGUCUGAGAGGAUGAUCAGUCACACUGGAACUGAGACACGGUCCAGACUCCUACGGGAGGCAGCAGUGGGGAAUAUUGGACAAUGGGCGAAAGCCUGAUCCAGCCAUGCCGCGUGUGUGAAGAAGGUCUUCGGAUUGUAAAGCACUUUAAGUUGGGAGGAAGGGCAGUAAGUUAAUACCUUGCUGUUUUGACGUUACCGACAGAAUAAGCACCGGCUAACUUCGUGCCAGCCGCCGCGGUAAUAC
rnacentral:rRNA from 1 species